rnacentral:lncRNA from 1 species
CUGUGUUAAUCAACCUUGGACAACAUCACAUAAUUACUGUUGUCUGAAUUAAUUCAUUCAGACAACAUCAAAAAAAUCAACCAUUGUCUGAAAUGUUAUUGCACAAGAGCAAAAAAAAAACUGUUGUUGGAUUCGAAAACUUAGACGACAGAAUAUUUCUUGCUGUCGUCUGAUUAAUUCAGACGACAGUUAAAAUGUUUGCUGUCGUCUGAUAUGUGUUGUCUGAUUCCGAAAUUGGUGUAGUGUAAGCUGCG